UAAUAAUACAAUGGGUCAGCAUGUCUGGCUGUUAGCCAGAAGGUUGGUGGUUCGAGUCCACCCAGGGAAG
rnacentral:tRNA from 1 species